rnacentral:lncRNA from 1 species
UAGCUACCAGAAUUCACCCCCAGCCUAACAGAUCCAAGAUCACUGUCAGCCCUGAGGAGGCAGGAGAGAUGCAAAUCUGAGAGAUAAAAGUGAAAAACUCAGCACUGCAGAAGUAAGGAUUAUUGGAUAGAGUUUCUCCAUCUAGCAUCCCAACUAUGAGAAGAUGGCCAUCUAUGAGAAAGUGGGGCCUCACCAGACACUGAAUCUGCUGGCUCCUAGAUCUUGGACUUCUCAGCCUUCUGAACUGUGAGAAAUCUGUUUAUUGUUUAUCAGACUCCCAGUUUAUGUUAUUUUUAUUAUAGAAGUGCCAAUGGACUAAGAUAAGGCUUUAAGCUACAUCAAGGCUCUGCUAAUUAUCCAUGGAGACACUCCCACCCAUCAUUCUGCACUUUUGAACCCUUCUCUUCCAAAUCAGUCCGCAAAAGGAAGUGCAAUUAAGCUUGCUGACAUUCAGUGACCCACAGUGAUGUACAGGGAAU